rnacentral:rRNA from 1 species
UACGGAGGAUCCGAGCGUUAUCCGGAUUUAUUGGGUUUAAAGGGUGCGUAGGCGGUUUGAUAAGUUAGAGGUGAAAUGUCGGGGCUCAACCCCGAAACUGCCUCUAAUACUGUUGGACUAGAGAAUAGUUGCGGUAGGCGGAAUGUAUGGUGUAGCGGUGAAAUGCUUAGAGAUCAUACAGAACACCGAUUGCGAAGGCAGCUUACCAAACUAUAUCUGACGUUGGGGCACGAAAGCGUGGGUAGCAAACAGG